ACGUAGGUGGCGAGCGUUGUUCGGAAUUAUUGGGCGUAAAGGGUCCGCAGGGGGCCUACUAAGUCUGAUGUGAAAUCCCGGGGCUCAACCCCGGAACUGCAUUGGAAACUGAUAGGCUAGAGUAUUGGAGAGGUGAGUGGAAUUCCAGGUGUAGCGGUGGAAUGCGUAGAUAUCUGGAAGAACACCGAAAGCGAAGGCAGCUCACUGGACAAUUACUGACCCUCAGGGACGAAAGCGUGGGGAGCAAACAG
rnacentral:rRNA from 1 species